GGAGGAUCAUUAUCGUAAAACCGAGGUGCAAGGGUUGUCGCUGACCUUUCUAAAGGUCGUGCACGCCCGAGCGCUCUCACCACAAUCCAUCUCACCCCUUUUGUGCAUCACCGCGUGGGUCCUCCUUUGCGGGAGGGCUCGCGUUUUCACACAAAACUUGACAUAGUCUGGAAUGUUUUAUUUUUGCUGUAACAUGCAAUCAAUACAACUUUCAACAACGGAUCUCUUGGCUCUCGCAUCGAUGAAGAACGCAGCGAAAUGCGAUACGUAAUGUGAAUUGCAGAAUUCAGUGAAUCAUCGAAUCUUUGAACGCACCUUGCGCCCCUUGGCAUUCCGAGGGGCACACCCGUUUGAGUGUCGUGAAAUUCUCAAAAGUCCUUUUCUUUGAUCGGAAUGGGUCUUUUGGACUUGGAGGUUCAAUGCUCGCGUUCACCUUUGAAAGCGAGCUCCUCUCAAAUGAAUUAGUGGGGUCCGCUUUGCUGAUCCUUGACGUGAUAAGAUGUUUCUACGUUUUGGAUCUGGCACUGUUUUCUCCGCUCCCAACCGUC
rnacentral:rRNA from 1 species